rnacentral:rRNA from 1 species
GUUCGGGUGCGUCUCCGGUCUAAGUUCUUGGAACAGGGCGUCAUAGAGGGUGAGAAUCCCGUACGUGACCGGCUGACAACCCCAUGUGAAACUCCUUCGACGAGUCGAGUUGUUUGGGAAUGCAGCUCAAAUGGGUGGUAUAUUUCAUCUAAAGCUAAAUAUUGGCCAGAGACCGAUAGCGCACAAGUAGAGUGAUCGAAAGAUGAAAAGCACUUUGGAAAGAGAGUCAAAAAGUACGUGAAAUUGUUGAAAGGGAAGCGCUUGCAACCAGACUUGCCCGGGGGUGAUCAACCGUCCUUUUGGGCGGUGCACUCUCCCCCGGUCAGGCCAGCAUCGAUUCGGGCGGUAGGACAAAGGUUCCGGGAACGUGGCCCACUUCGGUGGGUGUUAUAGCCCGGGGCGUNAUGCUACCAGCCUGGAUCGAGGACCGCGCUUCGGCUAGGAUGCUGGCGUAAUGGUUGCUAGCGACCCGUCUUGAAACACGGACCAAGGAGUCGACCAACUCUGCGAGUGUUUGGGUGUUAAACCCGUGCGCGUAAUGAAAGUGAACGGAGGUAAGAACCCGCAAGGGCGCAUUAUCGACCGAUCCUGAUGUCUUCGGAUGGAUUUGAGUAAGAGCAAAGUUGGUCGGACCCGAAAGAUGGUGAACUAUGCGUGAAUAGGUGAAGCCUGAGGAAACUCUGGUGGAGGCUCGCAGCGGUUCUGACGUGCAAAUCGAU